AGCUGUGGUUUCCCUAUGUUGGCCAGAGAGUAGUGGACAGCUUUCUUCCUAGCACCAUCAACCAUACCUGCUCACCUUGGUCGAAAACUGAAGAUCCCAUCCUCGUGGCUGUUCAUGACCGCACAAUGGCCAAUGUACACUUGGAAGUGGAAGGCGAUGUCUGAGUUUUCACCCAUCCCCACGUUGUAAUCAGCUGAGACUCUACUCAUCCCAUCUCAAGCUCUCAGCAUCUGAAAUUCCCCUCUCCAGCCCUAUUUGUAAUAGCCAAAAGCCAUCAACUAUGCCCAUUAACAGCAGAAUAAUUUUUUUAAUUGGUCCAUUUACCCAAAUAAAAUAAUAUGGUGACAAAAUACA